GACGAACGCUGGCGGCGUGCUUAACACAUGCAAGUCGAACGGAAAGGCCUCUUUCGGGGGGUACUCGAGUGGCGAACGGGUGAGUAACACGUUAGUAACCUGCCCUUUACUUUGGGAUAACUUCAGGAAACUUGGGCUAAUACCGGAUAGGAGCUCCUGCUGCAUGGUGGGGGUUGGAAAGUUUCGGCGGUUGGGGAUGGACUCGCGGCUUAUCAGCUUGUUGGUGGGGUAGUGGCUUACCAAGGCUUUGACGGGUAGCCGGCCUGAGAGGGUGACCGGCCACAUUGGGACUGAGAUACGGCCCAGACUCCUACGGGAGGCAGCAGUGGGGAAUAUUGCACAAUGGGUGGAAGCCUGAUGCAGCAACGCCGUGUGCGGGAUGACGGCCUUCGGGUUGUAAACCGCUUUCGCUCAUGACGAAGCUUUGUGUGACGGUAGUGGGUAAAGAAGCACCGGCUAACUACGUG
rnacentral:rRNA from 1 species